GAUGAACGCUGGCGGCGUGCCUAAUACAUGCAAGUCGAGCGAACAGACGAGGAGCUUGCUCCUCUGACGUUAGCGGCGGACGGGUGAGUAACACGUGGAUAACCUACCUAUAAGACUGGGAUAACUUCGGGAAACCGGAGCUAAUACCGGAUAAUAUAUUGAACCGCAUGGUUCAAUAGUGAAAGACGGUUUUGCUGUCACUUAUAGAUGGAUCCGCGCCGCAUUAGCUAGUUGGUAAGGUAACGGCUUACCAAGGCAACGAUGCGUAGCCGACCUGAGAGGGUGAUCGGCCACACUGGAACUGAGACACGGUCCAGACUCCUACGGGAGGCAGCAGUAGGGAAUCUUCCGCAAUGGGCGAAAGCCUGACGGAGCAACGCCGCGUGAGUGAUGAAGGUCUUCGGAUCGUAAAACGCUGUUAUUAGGGAAGAACAAAUGUGUAAGUAGCUAUGCACGUCUUGACGGUACCUAAUCAGAAAGCCACGGCUAACUACGUG
rnacentral:rRNA from 1 species